rnacentral:rRNA from 1 species
GAUGAACGCUGGCGGCGUGCCUAAUACAUGCAAGUCGAGCGAACAGACGAGGAGCUUGCUCCUCUGACGUUAGCGGCGGACGGGUGAGUAACACGUGGAUAACCUACCUAUAUUACUGGGAUAACUUCGGGAAACCGGAGCUAAUACCGGAUAAUAUAUUGAACCGCAUGGUUCAAUAGUGAAAGACGGUUUUGCUGUCACUUAUCGAUGCAUCCGCGCUGCAUUAGCUAGUUGGUAAGGUAACGGCUUACCAAGGCUACGAUGCGUAGCCGACUUGACUGGGUGAUCGGCCGCACUGGAACUAGGACAGCGUCCAUGGUCCUACGGGAGGCAGCAGUAUGGAAUCUUCGGCAAUGGGCGAAAGCCUGACGGAGCAACGCCGCGUGGGUGAUGAAGGUCUUCGGAUCGUAAAACUCGGUUAUUAGGGAAGAACAAAUGUGUAAGUAACUAUGCACGUCUUGACGGUACCUAAUCAGAAAGCCACGGCUAACUACGUG